rnacentral:rRNA from 1 species
AGAGUUUGAUCCUGGCUCAGGACGAACGCUGGCGGCGCGCCUAACACAUGCAAGUCGAACGAGCGAGAGAGAGCUUGCUUUCUCGAGCGAGUGGCGAACGGGUGAGUAACGCGUGAGGAACCUGCCUCAAAGAGGGGGACAACAGUUGGAAACGACUGCUAAUACCGCAUAAGCCCACAGCUCGGCAUCGAGCAGAGGGAAAAGGAGCAAUCCGCUUUGAGAUGGCCUCGCGUCCGAUUAGCUGGUUGGUGAGGUAACGGCCCACCAAGGCGACGAUCGGUAGCCGGACUGAGAGGUUGAACGGCCACAUUGGGACUGAGACACGGCCCAGACUCCUACGGGAGGCAGCAGUGGGGAAUAUUGCACAAUGGGGGAAACCCUGAUGCAGCGACGCCGCGUGGAGGAAGAAGGUCUUCGGAUUGUAAACUCCUGUUGUUGAGGAAGAUAAUGACGGUACUCAACAAGGAAGUGACGGCUAACUACGUGCCAGCAGCCGCGGUAAAACGUAGGUCACAAGCGUUGUCCGGAAUUACUGGGUGUAAAGGGAGCGCAGGCGGGAAGGCAAGUUGGAAGUGAAAUCCAUGGGCUCAACCCAUGAACUGCUUUCAAAACUGUUUUUCUUGAGUAGUGCAGAGGUAGGCGGAAUUCCCGGUGUAGCGGUGGAAUGCGUAGAUAUCGGGAGGAACACCAGUGGCGAAAGCGGCCUACUGGGCACCAACUGACGCUGAGGCUCGAAAGUGUGGGUAGCAAACAGGAUUAGAUACCCUGGUAGUCCACACUGUAAACGAUGAUUACUAGGUGUUGGAGGAUUGACCCCUUCAGUGCCGCAGUUAACACAAUAAGUAAUCCACCUGGGGAGUACGACCGCAAGGUUGAAACUCAAAGGAAUUGACGGGGGCCCGCACAAGCAGUGGAGUAUGUGGUUUAAUUCGACGCAACGCGAAGAACCUUACCAAGUCUUGACAUCCUGCGACGCACAUAGAAAUAUGUGUUUCCUUCGGGACGCAGAGACAGGUGGUGCAUGGUUGUCGUCAGCUCGUGUCGUGAGAUGUUGGGUUAAGUCCCGCAACGAGCGCAACCCUUAUGGUCAGUUACUACGCAAGAGGACUCUGGCCAGACUGCCGUUGACAAAACGGAGGAAGGUGGGGAUGACGUCAAAUCAUCAUGCCCUUUAUGACUUGGGCUACACACGUACUACAAUGGCGUUAAACAAAGAGAAGCGAGACCGCGAGGUGGAGCAAAACUCAGAAACAACGUCCCAGUUCGGACUGCAGGCUGCAACUCGCCUGCACGAAGUCGGAAUUGCUAGUAAUCGCAGAUCAGCAUGCUGCGGUGAAUACGUUCCCGGGCCCCUUGUACACACCGCCCGUNNC